AUAAGAGAGCACUUCAGUUUCUGAAUCAGUUUUUCUGAUUUUGCUAUUUAUAGAUUUAUGUUUGAGUAAAAUGAACAUUGUUGUUUUAUUCUAUAAACUACAGACAACAUUUCUCCCAAAUUCCAAAUUAAAAUAUUUUAGUCAUUUAGAGCAUUUAUUUACAGAAAAUGAGAAAUGGCUGAAAUAACAAAAAGAUGCAGAGCUUUCAGACCUCAAAUAAUGCAAAGAAAACAAGUUUUCAUGCAUCUUGGCAUCAUGUUCUCCUCCACCAGUCUUACACACUGCUUUUGGAUAACGUUAUGCUAAUCACUCCUGGAGCAAAAAUUCAAGCAGUUCAGUUUGGUGGUUUGAUGGUUUGUGAUCAUCCAUCUUCCUCUUGAUUAUAUUCCAGAGGCUUUUAAGUGGUCUUUUAUUUUUUUCCAGAGCUGUAUAUGUUACCAAUACAGAAGUUGAAUAAUUGGAUGCUGUAAUGUUUUAACUAAAACUGAAAUCUGGAAGUGAUUAAAUGGGAUUGUGCAAUAUGA